rnacentral:rRNA from 1 species
GAUGAAUGCUGGCGGCGUGCCUAACACAUGCAAGUCGAGCGGCAGCGAGGGGUGCUUGCACCCUGUCGGCGAGCGGCGAACGGCUGAGUAACGCGUAGGAAUUUGCCCCAAAGUGAGGAAUAACUGCCCGAAAGGGUAGCUAAUGCCGCAUAUGGUCUUCGGAUUAAAGGAUUUAUCCGCUUUGGGAGAAGCCUGCGUUGGAUUAGGUUGUUGGUAGGGUAAUGGCCUACCAAGCCGACGAUCCAUAGCUGGUCUGAGAGGAUGAUCAGCCAGGCUGGAACUGAGACACGGUCCAGACUCCUACGGGAGGCAGCAGUGAGGAAUCUUCCACAAUGGGCGAAAGCCUGAUGGAGCAACGCCGCGUGAAGGAUGAAGGCCUUCGGGUUGUAAACUUCUUUUAUGAGUGAAGAAUAUGACGGUAACUCAUGAAUAAGCACCGGCUAACUACGU